rnacentral:rRNA from 1 species
UAGGGAAUCUUCGGCAAUGGGGGGAACCCUGACCGAGCAACGCCGCGUGAGUGAAGAAGGUUUUCGGAUUGUAAAGCUCUGUUGUUAAGGAAGAACGAGUGUGAGAAUGGAAAGUUCAUGCUGUGACGGUACUUAACCAGAAAGGGACGGCUAACUACGUGCCAGCAGCCGCGGUAAUACGUAGGUCCCGAGCGUUGUCCGGAUUUAUUGGGCGUAAAGCGAGCGCAGGCGGUUAGAAAAGUCUGAAGUGAAAGGCAGUGGCUCAACCAUUGUAGGCUUUGGGAACUGUUUAACUUGAGUGCAGAAGGGGAGAGUGGAAUUCCAUGUGUAGCGGUGAAAUGCGUAGAUAUAUGGAGGAACACCGGUGGCGAAAGCGGCUCUCUGGUCUGUAACUGACGCUGAGGCUCGAAAGCGUGGGGAGCGAACAGG